AUUGAACGCUGGCGGCACGCUUAACACAUGCAAGUCGAGCGGUAACAUGACGGUGCUUGCACCGUUGAUGACGAGCGGCGGACGGGUGAGUAACACGUAGGAACCUGCCCAAGAGUGGGGGACAACCAGAGGAAACUUUGGCUAAUACCGCAUAAUCUUGAGAAAGCAAAGCUGGCUUUUAGCUGGCGCUUUUGGAGGGGCCUGCGUCUGAUUAGCUUGUUGGUGAGGUAAAAGCUUACCAAGGCGAUGAUCAGUAGCUGGUUUGAGAGGACGAUCAGCCACACUGGGACUGAGACACGGCCCAGACUCCUACGGGAGGCAGCAGUGGGGAAUCUUGGACAAUGGGGGCAACCCUGAUCCAGCGAUGCCGCGUGAGUGAAGAAGGUUUUCGGAUCGUAAAGCUCUUUUAGGUUGGAAGAAAGUUAUUAGUUUAAGAGAUGAAUAAUUUGACGGUA
rnacentral:rRNA from 1 species